ensembl:rRNA 5S_rRNA 5S ribosomal RNA
CUCUGCCAUACUGCCGUUAAUGUGGGUUGUGUCUGGUCUCCAAAGCUAAGCAAGGUUUGGCCUAGGUUGUACUGGUAUGAUAGCUUGUCUGGGAAUACCAGGUGCUACAGGGU